GGCGCCCCUCCCCCAUUCCCCUCUCCGGUUAUUUUAGAGCCUGGGCUGCCAGCGGCUGGCCCCGGGUUUCCACGUGCCUCCUCCCUCCCUCUGCCCACGCUCCCCGUGACGCACAUCCUCCGCCCACGCAGCCUCUGCUCAAGGCGCCCCCCUCCCUCCCACCCGGUCCCCCUUGGGCCGGUGCCGAGCCCGGGGAUCCGGGGGGAGUCGCGGGCCAGCGGGGGAAGAGGGUGGAAUAGGGCGUGAAGCAAGGGGGCGGUAACCGACUGGGCGCUCGGCCUUGGGUCCCGGCCCAGGAAAGAGAACGCGGAAGGGACCUGAUCCUAGGGCCGGUACUAGGCCAGAGAGGGAAGAGGGGAGAAAAACCCCGCACACUGGGCCAGCCCAUGCCCCUCGGGGUCAGAAGAAAUCUGUUUGGGUGCGAACGUGUGUUUGAGAGUGAAACUCCCGAGUGUUUGUAUCUUUGUUUCUCAGGGUUGUCGUGAGGUUCAAGUGAGAGUGUAUAUGAAAACUGUAAAUUGUGAAAUACUCAGAAGCAAAUUUAAGACGUUAUUCCCAGUUUGUACUUCUGUACCCCGAGGUUGUGUAUCUAUACGUUUCUUUACAUCUACUUGUGUGUCUGUGUCUCUAGGUUUGUGAGCCCCUCUGCGUGGAUUUAAAAAUAUGUACAUUUUAAAAACCAUUGACUUGUCAGGCCCCGCCAGAGGCCCAGACUCCCCCGCAGCCGGAGCUGCUGAGAUGUCUGUUCUUCGCUUCCCUCCCACUCCUACCACCUCCAACUCCCCUCCUCCUCCCUUCCGUUGAGAACAAGGAAUUUCCAGCCCUUAGCAAAUGGAGAGAGAAACAAAGAGACCAAGAUUAAGAGAAACUACGGAAAAACAACAAAGACAAGAGACAGAGUGGUAACAAACUUCGGACAAGAUGGUUGGAUGGCAUCACCAACUCAAUGGUCAUGAAUUUGAACAAGCUCCAGGACAUGGUGAAGGACAGGGAAGCCUGGCGUGCUGCAGUUCAUGGGGGUCACAAAGAGUCGGAUACGACUGAGCGACUGAACAACAAAAAUAACAACAAACUUUGAAUGGCACUGUUGUAGUUAAAAUUUGUUUCUUUUAUUUAAGUGAUAAGCAUAUGAGGUGCUCUGUGAGCACAGAGGAUGGCCUUGUUUGUGUUUUUAUUUAUUUGGCUGUGUUGGGUCUUGGUUGCAGCACUUGGGAUCUUCAUUGCAUCAUAGGGGAUCUUUCAUUCUGGGGCAUGAACUGUCUAGUUGUGGCUUAUGGGCUAAGCUGCUCUGUGGCAUGUAGGAUCUUAGUUCCUCAACUAGGCAUCAAACCUGCAUCCCCUGUAUUGCAAGGUGGAUUCUUAACCACUAGACCACCAGGAAGUCCCAAAAUUUGUUUCUAUACAUCCGUAUUUAGGUGAUAUUAGGACCAUGGGCCAUAAAGUAUCACAGGAGACGCCAUGGAACCAUAAAGACUGUAACAUGGGAGUGACAUGGUCAGAUCUAUAUUUAGGAGUGUUAUGGAGAAAAGGUUUUAUGGAAGUUAAAAGUGCAGAGAGGCCAACUUGAAGGAAACAAAAGUGCUCUGAGAGAGAUGGCAAGGUGCUAGACUAAAUCACUGAUGCUGGAGAUGGAGAGGAAAGGACAGAUUUAAAAGAUAGUCAUCAGGGCUUCCCUAGUGGCGCAGAGGUAAAGAAUCCACCUGCCAAUGCAGGAGCCAUGGGUUCUAUCACUGAUCCACGUGCUGCAGGGCAACUAACCUUGUGCUGCAACUAUUGAGCCUGUGUUGAAGAGCCCAGGAGCCACAACUACUGAAGCCCCCGUGCCCUAGAGGCCGUGCUUUACAAGAGAAGCCACUGCAAGAAGCCUACACACAGCAACUAGAGCGUAUCUCCUGUUCACUGCAACUAGAGAAAAGUCCACACAGCAAUGAAGACCCAGCAUAGUGAAAAGUCAAAAAUAAAUAGGUUAUUAUUUUUCAAAAAAAACUUUAAAAAAGAUCAUCGGGUAAUAUGAAUAGAACUUGAUGAUUGGCUAAAGGGUUAGGGGAAGAGAAGAGUUUAGAGUAACUCUCAGGCUUCUAGCUUGGGUGACUGAGUGGACAGAAUGGAGCAUCAUCAUCAGAUAGUCACCAUCUGCAGUCUUUUUCCUAAGUUAAGAAAGUUAUGAAAAAAAGUUAUGAAAACCAAAAAUUUUCAUAUCUCUUUUGACUACGAAACCUAAUCUGACUUGAACUUACUUUGUGGUGGACCUCCUAGCUUAUCAAGGCUGUAUAUUGUCAUCUUGCUUAUUUAAUUUACAUGCGGAGUACAGCAUGUGAAAUGCUGGACUGAAUGAAGCACAAGCUGGAAUCAAGAUUACAGGGAGAAAUAUCAAUAACCUCAGAUAAGCUGAUGAUACCACCCUUAUGGCAGAAAUCAAAGAGGAACUAAGGAGCCUCUUGAAAGUGAAAGAGGAGAGUGAAAUAGCUUAUUAAUACAUAAGGUUAUUUAUAGUUUCAUUUAUGCCACUUUCAUUUAUACCAAUGUGAAUAUUCAUCUCUCAUUGCAGAAACAUUCAUUUGUUUAUGAGGUACUGUCCCAGACCCCACUGAGAUUGCUGUCUUAUUUAUUGCAUAUGCACCAUAUUACAUUUUAAAAUCCAAAAAAAUUCUGAAACACAUUUGCGAUCCAGAUUUCCUGCCCCAUUUACUCAUCAGCGUUGGCCUGAGUUUUUUUGGCUAUUUGCAUAAAUCAGAUCCACCUGCAGAUAAUGAAUAUUCAUUGAAGUGUGUGCUAUAGACUCUGAAGAUGAUUCUCAAAGUGUUUUGAGCAGUGUUCAUAUUAUUAAAACAAGGCUAAAAGCUUCUUGAGUACCUGGAAGUAACGGAACUCAUUUGGAUGAUAAGGUUUCAUGUGUUUAUGGACAACCAGUUUUAUUACUGUACACUGCAUUUACAUAUUUUAACAGUCAGUGGUGGGAAUUCUCUGGAGGUCCAGUGGUUAGCACUCAUUGCUUUUACUGCCAGAUCUGGGUUCAAUCCCUGGUGGGGGAUUGAAAAAGAAAAAAGUAAAUGAUCCUCUGGAAUUAGUUGCCCUGUUCUCUGGCCUUUGUUCAAAACCAAUCUUGCAAGUUCUGAAUGCUGAGAAUUUGGGACCUGGUAGAAAAUGAAGUGUGUUUGUGUGUUGAGGGGUGUAGGUGUAUAAAUUAUUUUUUAAAAGUUUUAGACUUACAGAAAAAUUGAGAAGAUAGUACACAGUUGUCUUGUACUCCCCAUCCAGUUUCUACUGUUAUUAUCUUAACAUUAGUACUGUGUGUUUACCACCAUUAAUGAA